CUCCUGACCUGCCUCUGUCCCCCCGCAGCUGCCCUACCUGAUUGACGGGGCUCACAGGGUCACCCAGAGCAAUGCCAUCCUUCGCUACCUUGCCCGCAAGCACAACCUCUGCGGGGAGACGGAAGAGGAGAAGAUCCGCGUGGACAUGUUGGAGAACGAGGUGAUGGACCUCCGGAUGUUCCACAUCAGGACCUGCUACAGCCCUGACUUUGUGAGUC